UUUAUUUUAUUUAUUUUUGCACACUCAAUUAUUUAAAUCUGGAUUUAUGGGGCUUGAAAAACCAGAACGUUCUCCAGGUCUCAAUUAAAAAAAAUCUUAACUUUGCAAAGAGAAACGUGGGCAGCAACUGCCUUACUUGAAAAUAUGACGUUUUUAGUUUUUGAAGUUCCUAAAAGUGGGCACUUAUUUUGUAAUCAACCUUCCUGUAUCUUAAUUUUUGCAAUUGCAAAACUUCCCUGUCUUCAGCACAAUGUUCUCUCUAACCCAAAAGCUGACUGCUGUUUUAACAACUGAAGGGCUGGUGUAGAUGUUGUAAAGCAUCUGUAAUUACAGACUGAUUUGCUUUAGAGCAAGGGACACAAACGCUGUGUGUGUAGUUGUUAAAGCACUGGAGCAUUUUCCUACUCGGGUAGGCAACAAUUUUAGGGCACAAGGUAAGAUGUUGCUAUUUCAUUUCUCUCAAUUACCAGUGAAAAUUUGGGGUGUUUUUUUGGUUGUCUUUUUUUAAAGGAAUAGCCAGCGGCUGUAUUUAUAGCGAUAGUAGAGGAAAAUGAGAUGCGCUGUUAGCGUACCAAACAGGACACUGCUUAAUAAGGCUAGGAGCUUACUGAGAUCUAGUGAGCUGUGCUCAUUAACUACAAGAAUCACUUGGGUUAAAGCUUUUUUGCACCUCAUUAAGGCUGUGAAACAAGCAUUUCAUUUAUAUUAUUUCAAAUAUUCUGUUGACAUUUGAUAUAAUGAAAAGGCUUUUGAAACAAAAAACCAGUGUUGUUAAAAUAACUUUCUGAUGAAAAAUUGUUUCAAGGAACACUUUCUGACCUGCUCUAGUUGUCAUGGCUGCUACAGAAGGGUAUGUGCAAAGUUUUCAGACAAAAGAGUAGUUUUUAAGUUGGUAUUUUCCCUUUUAAUAGUGAAACUAUUAAGGUUCAUUUUAUUCAUUGCCUGUGCUCAGGUGCAGUGUAAGCUGGUAAGUUAGAGCAGGGAAGUAGGAUGGUUUUCUUCCUGGCAGCUGCUGACUUGCAGCCUUUACUGCUUGUAUGGGCCACUUAUUACCUUCCUGUGUGAUAUGCCUCUCACACAGCAAUAUGGUUAGUAACACUUCCUUAGGUCACAGAUGUGCCGUGAGUCUCAACCCAUUUCUGGUUUGUUGUUUUUGUUGGGGUUUUUUUGAGCUCCUGGGAAGAAAAGCUUCAAAAAAAACACAAGUCAGAAUGGAUCCAGACUUUCCCAGAACAUGGGACUCUUUCUCUAGACCCAGAUUUUUGGUUUCUAGCACAAACUCCUAGUAGUAGUAGUAUCAUUAUAACACUGGGGAGACGUCCGAUCUCCAGGAAUCGGAUGACGACUGCUGGGACAAAUUUAAUAAAGGUGAUCAAUAAAGCUCUCAGAAAUCAGGAUUGGGUCCCAAAGCAACUAUUUGCCUGCUUUUCUCUCUAGUUUUGCUUCUUGCUCCUUGUGUUUGAAGAUAAUGGGAGGCUCGGGUUCAACAACUGAGUCAACUUCAGUGCCACCAUCACCUUUGCCCAUCACAACCACCAGCACACCUGCUCCAGACACCGUGAUUACUACUACAUCUGCUCCACACCCAACAACAGGAGCUAAAAGCUUUUUUGAUGACCAUGAGGUACUCUACAUGUUGCUGUCCUUUCUUGCUGGUGCUUUGUUAGCCACUCUGGUAUCCACAGUCAUCUGGUUGAUCAUCGGACAAAGGAAAAAAAAAUAUCACAAGAGAUGCCAAGAGGCUUCUCUGCAGAAGGAUGCUGUACAGUCCACGCAGCAGGCAGAUGUGGAACAUGCCCAGGAAAAGGUCAGAGCUGUUUCUUUGGUGUCUGUCAGCUUCCCCAGGACGAAGUCAGUUAUGCCUCUUUGACUUUCAAGAAGACACCCAAGCCCGUUGCUGAGAAAUGAAGACACCGCUGCUGCCUCCGGCUCAAAGGAAGGCGGCCGUGUUGAAACAAUGUGCUGGCUUCGCUCAGAACGACAUUGCCAAAUGUUGCCUGUGAGACAUCAGCCAAGUGAUUUGUUGAGCUGCAUUGAGGUCUGUGGCACAAGAAAGUGUGGUCAGAGCAGAAAGUCAUGCAGCACUGCUUUCACCGUACGGACAAAUACACUUGGAGCAGCUUCAAAACAGGAGAGGGAACUUAUGCUUAAGAGUGUCCCUCACCUAUUACAUGACCUGUUAGAUGUGCGUGAGCCUGUAGUGAUAUAAAUGAGCUCAGUUGCCCCAGCUUUAAAGUUGGGUGAAGGAGAGUUAAAUUAGGAGUAUUUCUGUCCUAAGCUGUAACAUCUCCUCGCCUUUUGAAGCCUCUUUAUGUGUGCUUGUCUCUCUCCUCACUGCGCGCUUUUGAAAUCACUUACCUUUGUGUCACAGUUUCUUCUUCUGUGUCUGGCUGAUAAGACUACUUGAGAAACACCAGUGCUUUCUCUUUACAUUCUUUCUGCCCUUGUAAAACUUCUCUCUCUGUCUUAAUCAGCACGAAAAGGACAGGAAAUAUUUACCACUUAUCGUAUUUAAUCGUGUGUGAAAAUCUGCCCAUUGAAUGUUUUGUUUUUCCACGCUCUUCUUAAAUUACUUUGGACUCAAACGGUCCUUCUUAUUGUGCCUCUGCUUCAAUUAUGAAUUGCUUUGGUUAACUAGGUUAAUUUUUAAAAAAUGGAUAGCUUAUGCAAAUUUCUGCUUCCAUGUUGGAUCAUAGGAGAUAAGAAGCUUGUUUUCCUGGACUUGUGACUUCAUCUCUACAAUUGUAGUUGCAGAGAGAUGCUGCUGUGCUUAUGAACUCCCUGGCUCUACUGGGGACGUUCAAACAGCCGUAACACUAAUCAGAUAGCAAUGGCCCAUCUCAUGCUGGCAGAACAUCAGGUGUGUUAACAGCACUCACUUACCAAGCAUUUGACAGAGGUGCAUGAGAAUCAUUAUCCUCAUUUUGCCACAGGAGCAAAUGCAGUGAUUAAGUUGUAAUGAAAUGUCGCCAUCCAUCACCACAUCUGCCAAGGAGGAGGGGGAAUUAAGCCCUGCUUACCCACAUCAGGUAAAAGCAGGGACUAAAGCUGCCCUCUGGUUUUAGCUGUUCCACUCCCUCCAGCAGCCACAAACGCUAUGCUUUAACCUGUUGCGGACUGGUCACUGAGAGGUUUGGGGGGGUUUCAGUAUCGGUACCAGAAUUGGGAGUAGAAGCCAAAUCUUUAAAUGCCCAGCCCCAAGCCCUGUUACCUGAGGAUUGAAUCCUUCUUCAGAUUAGUCAGUGCAUGAUGCUGGAUUGUUAUAACUGCAAACAGGUGUCAUCUGCAUAUUUGGGUGCCCAGACACCUUUGCAUCCAGCCCUAAUUCUUUUGGGUCCAUGCAAAAUGACUGUGCACUUGAACAGGAGUAAAAAUCCCCAGUGUCUGACUGAAAGAAGCACCAAUCAGUAAAUGACAAAAGGACAGGAAACAUUUGCAAGCUUUAAAAAAAAUCACUUUGCGUUGGAACACAAAGGAUUAAAUGGCCAUGUGAUGGCAGCAAAAGGUAAUGAAUGGGGAACCCCAGUUUAUAACAACUGACUCUUGAGAUCUGUUCUUAGUCAUUCACUAAUGCUUAAAGCAACCCAUUUUUAGCUGUUAAUAUGGCAUGACGUUGCUAACAAAGAACACAGCUUUGGGGGACCAUUGAUAUCAUAUGAACUUUGGGGUUUGUAAGGAGAGGUACAAAUGUGUGUGGCUUUUAUGGUGGUUUUCAAUCCUUCCUUCUGCUUGACUUCAGACUAACACAGCUACCUACCUCUUUCUCUCUCUUUUUUUUUCUUUUUUCUUUACCAUGGAUUGCUUGCGUGGUUCUGGUAAAAGAGUUUGGAUGAGUUGCAUGAUGUGUGGAUUUGUGAAGACAACAUAAAACUUAUUGCUGCUGUACGCGCACAAACAAAUGGAUGAGUUUGGUAUAAGACUGCACGCACUUCUCUCCUGUGUGGCUUCAGUGCAUGUGUAUUUACAAGUCCGUGAUGGCGAUCCUGUAAGGCCCUGAGUGGAGCUCGACGAGCAGACCUCAAUUCUUGAAUGCAUCCGUUUUCAUAAUGUUGUUAGUCCUCAAAGUACAGAAGGAGGGAUGAGGAUGGCAAACACUGAAGCAACAUGAGUUGCUACGCAGACAUUGUGGACCAUUCUGCGAAAUGAAGUCAGCAAGCGCCAUGAACACUGCAAGCAACACAUGGUUUUCUCCAGGACACAGAUUAGUCUGUUGUUGGUCUUUGACAAGGCACCAGAUUUUCUAGCAAAAGGAAAUGCGAUAAAUGCAGUUUAUCUCUAUUUGAGCAAAAGACGUAGCAGAGCCACAGGGGACAUAGUAACUAAUGAAGAUGGAAAAGAGGGGAGUUCAUAAGGCAGUUUUGAAUGAUGACAGGUUUUACAAGUGGGGGUGACGAUUUUUUUUUACGGAGUGGGCAACUAUCAGGCUGAAGGCAGGUUACAUGUCAAGUUCCCCCUGGACAGAUCUUGCAGCUUUCUGAUUUAAUACUUUCAUGUGUGACCUUGGCUGCAGCAGUAGACCUGUGCCAUGGAACCAACAGUGGGAGGCACUGUCGGUACAAAGGAGGAUUGGAAUAUUAUACAGGGAAAACGAGAUGACCCUGGGGACUGAGUAAUAAAAACAGCACGAAUGGUGCAGUAUAAAAUGCAAGGUCAGGCACGUGGAGACUAACUACAGGAGUUUCUGCUAUAAACAGAGAACUCGCUAGCUAAAAGGUGACAGAGGAGAGUAGCUUGCACAGCUUAGCUGACUAGAAGCCAACUGUGUGGUGCACCCAUAGAAAAGGCAAAUGUAAUCGUAGGCUAUGUAUUAGGCAAGGUAUUUCCAACAGUGAUAGGAAAGCAUUGGUGCCAUUGUAACCAGACAGGGGUAAGACCUUAUCUGGAAGCUGGUUGCAGUUCUAAGGCUGUGUUUGCAGGGUAAACUUACUGUGCCAGGCAGCAGAACAGUAACACCGUGGUCGAGGACUGCAUACCACACCACACGGGCUGCCUUCAGACCACAGCUGUGUGCGCCAUGCUCCACGUGGACUGGGGAACGUGGGAGCAGGCUACCUGGCACAGUCACCCAGCAGUGUGUAUUAGCUCUGUCAGUGUGGCAAUCCUGCUGCUACCAUUUGCACGCGUGAGUUUUUGGGCACAGAGAAAGGGGCAAGGUGUCAGAACCUCUGUGACUCUUUCCGAAAACCUGGUUAUGGCGAUUUUCUGGGUCACAUUGCUAACCACCAAGGGAGCCAGAAAUAGAACAUUUCUGUUUCUCUCUGUCUCCAAUUUCGCACCCAGUGUAGAUGACAGUGACCCCUUCAAAGCGCCGUGUAGCGAAGGCCAUGUGUUCAUCUCCAAACCCCCAAAAUGCACUAUGGCUCCAUGAGGUUUAAGUAGCAAUUGUUACAAAUUCCCUUUUUUGUUUUGUUCCUCCAAAAUACCUUCCCUAGCCCAGUUUGGAUUUAGACCUGAUAGCAGUUAUGGCCACCCGAUGAUGGGUGGCAGCUGAGAGAAACUGGAAAGCCUGCAACUAUGAGCCGUUCUGAGGAAGAAGGCGCAUAGCUCACGGUGAACCCAAAGCCAUUUCUCUUCCUGUAGUAAACGUGAUAACAGCAAGCGGAGACAAUUCAGCUCCGAGAAAGCCAGCAGCAAGGCCCGUUCCUGUCAGCUGGGAUGCCGCACAAUGAGGGUGAAGGUGGCUUUCCACGCAGAACUGGACUGAGGCCCAAAUGGGUCAUUUCCACACCAUUCACUAAAACUCAGCCAACUGGACAGCAACAGGUUUGGCUGCCAGGAGGCUCUGUGCUAACCAGAGGGCCACAAGCUUUCAGGUUUGUGUAAGCCAAGCGCGUUGCAUGUCCCAGAGGUUUCUAACAGUCCUCCAUCCCUCUCUUUUUGCAGGACUCUGCAAUCCCCUCAGUCAGACUUUCCCUCGUUCCAGGGCAUUUAUGUCUCCUCCACUCCCCCCACCAAGGCCAGGCACUGUCUGCUAGCCAGUUCUUAACAGCAGCCAUGAACUGGUUCUUGUAUAGACAAUGAUCAUGGUGAUGUAGGGCUGCUGGGUCUGCUAAAUGUGUACGUGCCCCCACUUCCCCUUUCUGGGUUUCGGGUUUUCACCAGGCAGACGGGAGUCUGCUCACUGAUGCCUUAACAUGUUCGGAUGUUUUGUAACUGCGUGCAUGCAACAUUCAAAAGCUGUCCCGGGCAAACAGAUAGGAUAUUGCUUAACUCAACCACUGAGUCUAGCCCAGGCAUUUGGGUAAGAUAGACCCCUGCGAAGAAGGGUAUCCUGAGGGUGAAGGUGCACCCCUGAACCUAUGGCUUAGUUGGGACUUAAUUAGUGCAUAGGGCUCAUACUGGCUUUGCGCACUGGGCUGAAGCUUCACUACAGAGCGGUAACCAGAUUGUGCUGUCUCCAGCAGGAAACAUCUCCAGGUAGUGUCUCGGUCUGGGAAGUUAAGGGGUAUUAUUGCUAGUGUGAUGAGGAGGGUAGGCUUUGUAAGUCCCUACACAGAGGUGGUUCGUAGAUAGUCUUCCAGAGCAGGGAAAACAAUACAGGUGCUCAGCAUAAGAAGGGAUUUCCAGGGACUCUUUCUGAAAGGAUGUGGAAGUGGGCCCAACUGUGGUGAGGUACUAAAUGCCUUUAUAAGAGAAGGGUGUAGCACCUAUGCUAGUAACAUGAGUUCUAAGACCUCCGUGGGAGUUUGCUGGGCUGGGUUGGGCUAGAAACCAUACCAGUGUCUCUGUGAGGUUUCAUUUAGACCGGCACCACACAAUGGGUUUGUCUGAGCUUCAUUAGAUGAUCUAGUUGGGCUGAGCCUUUUUGCUGCUCUUUUGCUGGGAAGCUGAGCUAGUCCAUCAGGUGGUGGGGCUUUGGCUCCGUUUCCCCACGCUCACUUGGUUUCAGACAGUGCCACUGCUGAUGCCCUGGGGAUAAUCCUUUGGCCUGAGAAGUCCCAGCUCCCAGGUUAUGGGGCCAGGCAUUCUUUGGCCAAGCCCACGCAGUCCUAGUGUCUGCAGCAGAGCGUCUGUCUCCUGAGCGAGGAGCUGCACUGAAUUCUCCUGUCCUUAUACAGGCGGUGGCAAUGCCCUCACUGGCCGGUCCAUCUUUUAAAUCCCUCUGCGCAUACCAGGGAAUAUUAAUUCCCUGAGAGAUUAUGCCAGGCGGCUUGGUCUGAAGACCAAGGAAUAGCUUUUCUUACCAGUGACUUCCUCUGUUGGGCAGCACAGAACAAGGGGCUCUGUCUUUCUCUGAUUGCCCCAUAACCAUUUUCCCCAGCUUCUGUCUGUGUCUCAUUUUCAUCCUAUCCCCCCCUCAUUAAAAAACACAUGACCUUACACGCUGACUGGUGCUAUUUAAUGCCGGUAAGUAGUUGCACCUUGCUCUGAUCAGUGAAAAGGCUUCUCUGAUCUCACGUGUGAGCGUGGUUUAAGCUCGCUCAAAAGAAAAGCCUCUUGUGGAAGUCCUUCUGCUCUGGGUGGGAAUGCUGGGUGUGCUCUUGCACAUCAGGAGCAACACGCGCCACGUGGCAGAAGUCAGUGGGAUUCCUCCCAGCUAUGAUACCACGUCCCCUUUCAACCCAAAUGAUUUGUAAAACAUUUGGGGCCUGUGAGGAUGUUGCGAUGAAGAGGACGAAUAAUUGGUGAUGGAGUCGGGGGUGUCCUGGAGGCAGUCCUGUUUAUUUAUAAAAGGCGUGCAACCACAGCAGAUGUCAGGCAAAAGGCAGGGUCUUUGCAGACACUUUUCCGUUCAGCUUCUCUUCCAGUCGGCACGUCUCCCUGAAAUCCCUCAAGGCCACGUACCCAGGUCUUCGGUGUUUUCUCUUGCUCCGCUCGCUCCACCGGCCAGUCCCCUCAGCCCCACGUUUGCCGUCUCCGUCCCCAUGAAGCCCCCUCAGCCCUGUUUCUGUUUAGCUUUGCCAUGUGCAUCUCUGCUUUGGGCUGCAGCCCCUUGUGUUUCAGCUCUCACUGAAGGGAAAGCCAUAGCAUUGCUCCCUCAGUGAGCUGCAGCUGAAGGCCAGUGGCGAGGUCUACCGGUUUCACCGGGACUUAACCCCACCUCUAACAGUUUAUCCACCCUUUAUCUUAAAUAUAUUAAUCACAUCUCAGCCUCUUGUGAUUUACCCAAGCAUCUCAUCUUUGAAAAUAGCAGAAGCCCCAACCCAAAAUGCCUCCAAAAUGCUUGCAGCUUGUUCUCAUAUUGCUAACAGCGCUGCUGGUGGCUUCAAACCUCAGGGUAGCUACUGUCAUUGAGGUGUCCUGAGGUGCAACCACAAUCAAGACAAGGUGGUUUGGCUUACUGUGAGGUAAUUCUUUUUAUUGAGCUUAAAAUUAAUUGCGUUGCCUUCAGUGUGCUUUUGUCUGGGGUUGAUGUGUGUUAGUUUACAGAUUCAUAGACGUAGGGUCGGAAGGGACCUUGCAGAUCUUCUAGUCCGACCCCCUGCCCUGGGGUAAAACAAUGUGGCUUUUCUAGCGCAAAGACAAAGCCUACAACAGGUGUGGUACGAGAGGAUUGGGAGAAUACACCCUGUUCGUCACUGCCUGCCCUGUGACCCGCUCUUUGCUCUGCAUGUAUUUGCCUUGGCCUGUUUUAACAGAGGAUAUUUGAAACAUUAAAAGCAAGGUGAUAUGAUGAAAGUGUUCUGCUCUGUAAAUGGCUCCCAUGUUACCCAUGCUACAGUAUUGCCUGGAAGCCUCCCCCUCACAUCAGGGCCCAUUGUGCAUGGCCCCAUGGAGGCUGUAGUUCAAAGAGAUGGGUAAAGAGCUGAGGCACGCACACCCGCAAG